UACGGAGGGUGCAAGCGUUAAUCGGAAUUACUGGGCGUAAAGCGCGCGCAGGCGGACUGAUCAGUCUGGGGUGAAAUCUCACGGCUCAACUGUGAGCGGUCCCUGGAUACUGUCAGUCUUGAGAGACCUAGAGGAGAGCGGAAUUCCCGGUGUAGUGGUGGAAUGCGUAGAUAUCGGGAAGAACACCAGUGGCGAAAGCGGCUCUCUGGGGGUUUUCUGACGCUGAGGCGCGAAAGCUAGGGGAGCGAACGGG
rnacentral:rRNA from 1 species